rnacentral:lncRNA from 1 species
CUCGAGUAGCUGGGAUUAUAGGCAUACACCACCAUACUCGGAAUAAUACACUUGCGCACACAGAGAGACACUAAGGGUGUGCACGCACAGAGAAAAGACCAUGCGAAGAGGCAACAAGAGGGCAGCCACCUGCAAGCCAAGAAGGAAAGACUUAGGAGAAACCAGGCCUGCUGAUGUCUUGUUCUUGGGCUUCUGGCUUCUAGAACUGUGCAAGAACUAGAUUCCUGUUGUUUAAAACCCCCUAGUUGUGGUACUUCAUCACAGCCGCCCUGGUAGACUAAACUUGUAUUUGUCUGUUCUCAUGCUGCUAAUAAAAACAUACCUGAGACUGG